UGGGGAAUCUUGCACAAUGGGGGCAACCCUGAUGCAGCGACGCCGCGUGAGCGAUGAAGCCCUUCGGGGCGUAAAGCUCUUUCGACCGGAACGAUAAUGACGGUACCGGGAGAAGAAGCUGCGGCUAACUACGUGCCAGCAGCCGCGGUAAUACGUAGGCAGCAAGCGUUGUUCGGAGUUACUGGGCGUAAAGAGUGCGUAGGCGGUUUUCUAAGUUCGGUGUGAAAUCUCCCGGCUUAACGGGGAGGGUGCGCCGAAGACUGGGAAGCUGGAGUGUGGUAAAGGCAGGCGGAAUUCCUGGUGUAGCGGUGAAAUGCGUAGAGAUCAGGAGGAACACCGGCGGUGUAGACGGCUUGCUAGACCAUAACUGACGCUGAGGCACGAAAGCGUGGGUAGCAAACA
rnacentral:rRNA from 1 species